CGCGUUACCUAGUACCACAAAAACGACAGGCUAUUCAUGGAGAAACCAGUCUCAGAUGAAGAACUUUUGACAUUGCCGAGUGCUACUGCUUAACGUGGAGUUCAGAGGCGGGUUUGCACAACAAACAGAUGUUCUUUGAUGUCAGCUGCAGUGAGGGGGAGGCAAAAAAUGGGAACGCUAAAAAGAAGUAGGAGGAAGGUGUCAGAACUCUAAUCACCAUGCAGCGCUCAGAAAGAAAUCUAUUGUAUCUCUUAGCACAAACACUGACUUUGAGUCACAGUUACAACGCCGGCUCGCUGAUCCAGAGAAGCUAAAUUACACAGGCUGUCAACCAAACCAACGUAGAGCUCCGUUCGGGCUUGUAAUAAAUUAUGUAAAAGAGCCUAACAGCAAGAAAAUGGCCGUGCCAUUUACUGUCACUUCAGACAAUUUGUAUUAUGACAUUUCACGAACGCUUGGCCAAUUACACUGCAUAGAUCUAUUGCAUAAACUAAAUAAUAGUUUCUCCACUCCAGCUAUGUGAUUUAGUUAUUCAUUAAACCACCCACAUCACAAGUGCAAAAUACAGCUCAGGACAUGUACUCCAUGAACAGCUCAUUUAGGUUAGUGUGUGUGUGUGUCAGCACUGUGUAUACGUUUUACACCCGCAUGCCUACAAAACCAGUAGUAUUUUCCAAAACAACUACGUUUACAUGUCACAAUUUAUUUCCACUGCAGUCAGCCUAGUAGAUGCUAUUGAUGGUGUAAAAGAGUACUGGUGUUUGUUAAAAGCAAAAACUGCUAUCAUAUUACAACAAAUAUAUCUACUGUCUAUAUGAUAUCUACAUUUUUUUCCGUUUGAAACAAAUACAUGUUUAUCUGUUGACCGCAUGAUUCAUUUGAAAUACUAUUUAAAUACUACUUUAAAAUGAAUCACUAAGAAUUUGUAUUAAUACUAAUAUAUUUAAAAUACAUUUCCACAAUUUUAAUUCAGAAACACAGGUUAUCGGCCACCUCUCUGAAUCUUUUGAGAUGCUAUCCUAGACCUUUUACACUACUACAAAUAUAGUAUGAAAAAUGUAUUAUCACACCUUUCAGUUUAGCCUAAGAUCAUAACGGUAUAGAUUUUGUUUGGAUAAAAGAUGCACGCUGUGUAAUGUCUCUCUAGUUCAGGCUCAUUUCCAAUACUUUUCCAUUGUCUCAACAGUUUCAACUGCAAUAUUGGUUACAGUUUAAUCAGACCUCCAUUCGCUGACCGACAUUUUAGCUUUAACUAGUCAGCUGCCUUUGUGAUGGAGGAGCUGUCAUAAGGUGCAAUAAAAACACUCACACACGCAUAACUAUCUGACAUGAGGGUGUGACGUGUCAAGACAUGUAGGCAUUACCAUUGUCUAGGCUGAAGUACUGUAUGGUAGCUUAUCUUGACGAAUCUCCAUCAGUAACUGAACAGUUCACCCAUAAAUGAAAAACCAUUUACUCGU
ensembl:lncRNA